AAUCGGCCAGAUUUUAAACCAAGAUAAAUAUAGAAUUUGGAUUAGGUCGUCUGAAGAAUUAAAAAAAUUCUUAAGAAUUAUAAUUCCGCAUAUUUUUGUAAAAAGUAUGCUUUAUAAGAUACUCCUAGUCUAUAAAGAUUCUCAAAUUCAACAACGCUGGAUAUCUGAACUUGUUCGGAUUGGAAAUUUUUCCAAAGAAGAACUUGAAAAAGCUCUUUUUGAUAAAAAAUCAAAGAGCAAGUAAUUCAGAUAAAGAUAUAGUCCGGACUUUAUGGCAACAUAGAGAAGCAAGCAGAAAUGUCUUGCUCCCGCCAUUGGCGGAAGUAACAAAAUCAACCCCAGUAGUCCACGCCCUAAACGAUGUCCGUUAGCUCUUUGGAGUAUCGACCCUCUGAGGGGCAAAGCUAACGCAUUAAACGGACCGCCUGGGUAGUACGGCCGCAAGGCUAAAACUCAAAGGAAUAGACGGGGGCUCGCACAAGCGGUGGAUCAUGCGGCUUAAUUCGAUGGUACACGAAAAACCUUACCAGGACUUGAAAUCAAAUUGAAAGUUCCGUGAAAGCGGAACCCUCCUUUGGACAAUUUGGCAGGUGUUGCAUGGCCGUCGUCAGUUCGUGGUUUGAAUUGUUCCCUUAAGUGGGGAAACGAACGCAACCCUUAUUGCCUGUUAUAAGUGUCAGGCGAGACUGCUCCCUCACGGGAGAGGAAGGUGGGGAUGACGCCAGGUCAGCAUGACCCUUUGAUGUCCUGGGCUGCACGCAUGAUACAAUGGUUAUUACAACGGGAAGCAAUAUCGUAAGAUGGAGCAAAUCCUUAUAAAAAUAACCCAAGUUCGGAUUGAGGUCUGCAAUUUGACCUCAUGAAGUCGGAAUCGCUAGUAAUCGCAGGUCAGCUAUACUGCGGUGAAUACGUUCUCGAGCCUUGUACUCACAAAUAAAUGCGCCCGGUAGCGCAUAUUUCUAAGAGGUUAAAAUCCUCUCCUCUGCUCUGUCUUAGCAGAGCGUAGCCGAAAGAUAGGCGUACAUUCGUAAGAAGUAAGCC
rnacentral:rRNA from 1 species